GCGAUGAGCUCGUUUGCGUAAGACGGACAAGCAUUCCUUAUGGAGCACGUUGUGGAGCGUGGCUUGAUACGCCGCAAACUAUCGAAAACCCCCAUGCCUUUGGCGUGGGGG
rnacentral:sRNA from 1 species